CAUUAAGUUCCCCGCCUGGGGAGUACGGCCGCAAGGCUAAAACUCAAAGGAAUUGACGGGGACCGCACAAGCGGCGGAGCAUGCGGAUUAAUUGAUGCAACGCGAAGAACCUUACCAAGGCUUGACAUACACCAGAACACCGUAGAAAUACGGGACUCUUUGGACACUGGUGAACAGGUGGUGCAUGGUUGUCGUCAGCUCGUGUCGUGAGAUGUUGGGUUAAGUCCCGCAACGAGCGCAACCCUCGUUCUGUGUUGCCAGCACGUUAUGGUGGGAACUCAUGGGAUACUGCCGGGGUCAACUCGGAGGAAGGUGGGGAUGACGUCAAAUCAUCAUGCCCCUUAUGUCUUGGGCUUCACGCAUGCUACAAUGGCCGUACAAAGGGCUGCAAUACCGUGAGGUGGAGGAAUCCCAAAAAGCCUCCAUCGGAUGAGGUCUGCAACUCGACCUCAUGAGUCGAGUCCUACGCAUGCGGUUGCAUGACCG
rnacentral:rRNA from 1 species